GAAAUGCGAUAAGUAAUGUGAAUUGCAGAAUUCAGUGAAUCAUCGAAUCUUUGAACGCACAUUGCGCCCGCCAGUAUUCUGGCGGGCAUGCCUGUUCGAGCGUCAUUUCAACCCUCAAGCUCAGCUUGGUGUUGGGGAUCGGCAGGGCGUCCUCCGGGUCGCGCCGUCCCCCAAAUAUAGUGGCGGUCUCGCUGUAGCUUCCUCUGCGUAGUAAUACACCUCGCACUGGAGUCUUGGCGCGGCCACGCCGUUAAACCCCCAACUUUUUCUGGUUGACCUCGAAUCAGGUAGGACUACCCGCUGAACUUAAGC
rnacentral:misc_RNA from 1 species